GGGCGAGUGUUGUAAUUGGUAGCCAAGGCAGACUUAAAAUCUGCUGACUUCACGGUCGUGCGGGUUCAAGUCCCGCCUCGCCCACCA
rnacentral:tRNA from 1 species